UUAGCACUUCUUACACUGUUUAUAUUGAUUCAUUUUUUCUCACCCCCUUUGCUUCAUGUUGUCCAUCAUGGACAACUUGCAGAUACUCAGGAGUGUUCCCUGUUGCUGUGUGUUGGAAGGUGGCUUGUUAGAGUUACUAUUCGCUUUUAAUUUUAAUCGUUAAUAAUAUUAGUGGUUUACUGCUCUGAUCGUGUAUCAUCGGGGAUGAGAUUUAUUAUGAUUUAAAGUUGUCAUUGUUUUUGUUAUUCUGAAGUUUAUAACUUAUUUAUGAAGUUAUAUUGAAA
rnacentral:lncRNA from 1 species